rnacentral:lncRNA from 1 species
CACCAUGGUGAUUUGAAAGUAACUCACUGUACUUUAGUACCAGACCAUCUAAGUUUCUAACUUAGUGAUGAAAGGAUACUGAUUGUAGUCAAGUACUUAUCAAAUCGGUGUGUGAGUCACGAUGGAAUUGAUCCCUCUGAAUUGGUAAGAGAUAUGCAUCAGUGUAUUUCAAUUUAGCAAAAUCUUGACCAAAGUAAUCCAUGAGAUAGAUUUAAAAGAUUGAAAUAUAAUAUGGUUGAUUUAAUUAGGAUUGACAAUUAAACCCUAGGUCACCUUGAGCA